CCAUUGAUGAAUGAUUUUUUUUUUUUAUAUAUUGAGCUAUGGAUAACUAUCAUUGGAUCACUUUUAUCAGGGAGAUGGAUUAUUAGAAAGAUCUUGAUUCUGAUGGUUCGGUGCUAUAAAUUUAUUUGAAUUUACCAGUUGAAUGUGACUAAACAGGCUUGAACAAAUAGAAAUUGCCUCCCAUCAUCUAUGAUAAAGCUUGCAAACACUUGUGUUCAGAGCUUCUCCGGUGGACAGUGUAUGCAGUGUGCAUUAUGUUCCUGUAACAAUACAUGAUAGUAAUGUUGCCCCAUUUUAUGCUAUUUGGCUGUCACCUGAAGAGUUAAUUUAGCUGGCGCAGUACUACAAGAUUUAGCCUUGCCAAAAUUGGUAGCUGAUUUUGGCUCACUCGAACUUUCACCUGUUGAUGGGAGGACUUCAACAGAUUAUAUGCAUACAAGGGGCCUGCAGAUGCGUUCACUAGGCCGUG